rnacentral:rRNA from 1 species
GUCUACAUCCAUACCACACUGAAUGCACCCAAUCAUGUCUGAUCUUGGAAGCUAAGCAGGGUUGGGCCCAGUUAUUAAGUGGAUAGGAGAUGGCCAGGGAAUACUGGGUGUUAUAGGCU